CAGACAAAAUCUGUGAAGAGAUAUCAAGAGGCAGAUAUUCACAUUUUAUUACAUAAUGAAAAGGUCCAAACCUCCAGAUGCACAAGAAAGAAAACGGAGAAAAGAGGAGGAGGAAAAGAAAGUCCAAUAUAGAGGUAUGUCGUCUAAUGUUAACAUAGCUAGCUAAGUAGCAAUAAAGCUAAUGCUAGAUAAUGAUGCUACGAUAGCUGCUGGACUCACAUAUCGUUACAGAUUGAAGGAUAUGAGACUGAAUGACAAGCCAGUAGCGAGCUAUCUGGAUAACUGCUCCUUCCUACAACGUAAGGCUUUGUGCUGAAAUUUCACUGACCAAUAUCAGUGAUAAUGGCUAACGCUAUAUCUAUAAAAACAUAGAUUUCUGCACUGGGUUGCACCAACUAUGUGUAAGCUGGCAUGAGCCACUUGGCAUCGUAGCACAUUGUAGUAAACUGGAUCAAUAGUGAAAUAUCAUAUCAAUAAAUUAGGUCUCUACUGGAUUACUGUGUUGCUAAAUGGCAGCAAUUAGAGUUAUGUUGUAACUUAUCUCCGUGGUGAAAGCUUUUAUUUUAGUGAUGCAUAAAUCACAACUUAGUGACAAUAAUUUACGUUAUAACUAAGUUUGAACUGACACACAGCUGGUGCAACAGGCUGCAGCAGUUGUUUGUCUACUCUGAAGCUACAUGUUUUUGCUUGUAACAGGCUGAUAUCUACUCUAUAACUGUCCAGAUGCACUCAGGAAAUAUCUGCAGAAGCCUCCAGCUGCUGGAGAAGUUACAUCUGAUCUCCCAUCUACACCACUCUCUGAAGCAGAUUUAACUGCAGGUGAAGCAACAACAGACACAACAGACACUUCUACUACUCUACAGCCUGCAGACACCAUCAACUGGAACAGAUCCUGAAGUAUGUGAGUCCAUCAAGGCAGCAGCUAUAGAUCCUGCUGACUGGCAGCCCUGUCUGAUAUGGUGAGGACAAAGAUAGUCAGCAGAGGCCAUAUCAGCUAAAAUAAAACUGUACAUUUACAAAAUGAGAGGAUGGGAGAAGUUCCCAUCACCACCACUUCUACAGAAAAUAAGUGAAUGGAGAGAAAAUCAAGAGAAGUUGGUUGGGUAUAUUCCAAGAAAAAAUUUUAAAAAGUCUUUACUGCUUCUGCUGCAACCUGUUCUCACAAAAAAACUACAAACUAAUCAGUAAUUGAUUUAAUGACUGGAAAAAUUGCAGUGAAAUACUCAAAACCCACGAGAACAGUCCAGGGAUCUCAUUUGUUGAGUAAGCAGGAACGGGGCCUGAAAGAGGCGUACGCCACUUCCCAAGCAAAAGUUGUGAUCUAUAAAAACAAACUUGAUGGGACAAUGUGCGCACCUGCACCUAAACUCUUACCCAUGCGUAGGAACAUUUUAGAGACAGGGGAAAUCCACGACGCAGAAUUGAAGUGAAUUGAAGGCAGAUUGUAUAAUAAUCCUCUCACACAUUUCAUUUCACUUAAUAUCAAACAUCAAUUAUAGAUCCACAUUAUCAGAAACACUCAAACCAGCAGUGUUAUCUGUACUUUGGCUUGUAGUGAGCCAUAACUUCCAUAAACAUCUUUCAAUUUGUAAAGAUAUAAAGCAACUCAGAUGUUAAAGUCUGCCCAACAUUUCAUCAGUGCUGCCUCACCCGGAGCACAAAGGAGAGAGUCAGUUGUGGAGCAGCAGCAGCUGAAAUGAAUGAUGUCAGGAUGUGGCAGGUGGCAGGAUUCUGCAAAGUCUGGGUUGCCUUUCUCCAAUAUUAGCUAAGCAUGAAAAUACUGAUUGAUUUUCACCUUAGCCACGUUAACUUACUGAUGAAAUGAUCAUCAUUGAUUGUAGAAAUCCAAGAUGACAUCAAAUAACUUCAACAAACAGAACUAAAACAUAUUUACAGGAGAGAGUGAUUGGUGCGGCGAAAGAAACACAUGUACAUGAAUAUUCAUGAAGGCUUUUGCAUCGACCAUUUAUGGUUGAAUGUGGGCGUGUAGAGGGCGGGAUAUGACGCUGAUCCAUGAGCGCACAUUUCCAGGUGGACUGUGAUUUAUAAAGGGAAAUAUACGUGCAUUCGUGUGUACGCAUGGUUUUAUAAAUCUGAUUAUUUUUCGGUGCACGCCAUUUUCGGCUUUUAUGCGCACGUACAAUUUUAGUAUGGAUCCUACACAAUGUUUUAUAAAUGAAACCCCAGAACAUUGUGGGCACAUGACAUCAUGGAAGGAGUCAUCUAUCCAGUGUAAUCUAUCAAUAACCAAGUGCCAGCGUCUUGGAUGUUACUAACAGGUAAAGGUAGUUAAUAAUAGUAAUAUUUAACAAUUGAUUCAUUCUGUGAAACGUGAUUUGUUUGUUUGAAAAGUAAUUGUAAUUUAUAAGAAUCUAUAUUUUUGUCUUGAAACCAUUGUGGUGUCUGAUGUUUGUUGUCCAUAUUUUUACUGUAGAAUGAGCGGGUGUGUCAUGGACUCAUGGUUUGGGCUCUUUGUGUUUUUUCUUCUUUUGGUUUUCUGUGUUACACUUGUGUUGUCCAGUCUUUUUGCUCAUUCAUGUUAUUUGAGUUGUAUCUUUGAAAGACUGUAUUAGAUUAUUGGUUAGCUUGUAGUGCUGUGUACCUAGGUUGAUUUAUUCAGAGACACUUUGAUUUAUGCUGGCUUGUUAUUGAGUGCUGUUGUGUUUUCUGGGUUUUACUUUGCUCUGUGUUUCUCUUGUGUGUUCCUUCACUCCUCCUGUUUUCAUGUGCUCCUCCUCUCACCUGCCCUGCAGUAGCCUCGUGGGUCCUGCCCUGCUCCUAGUGUCUUCCCCAGCCUAUCAGCUCCCAGCCUGCCCUUGUAUUGUGCCACCUGUUCCUUGUUGUCUGAUUACUUCAGUUUGUAUUUAAGUUCAGUUUUCAGUUCAGUCUUUGUCGAGUCGUCUGUUCAGUUAGUCAAUUCUGUUCUGUCGUGUUUGCUCAGUUUCCUGCUCAGUCGAUUUUUUUGUGUAUCUUGUUCUACUCAGCUCAUCCUGCUUUUGUUUUUUUCCUGCCAGUCGUUGAAAUAAAGACGCUUUUCUUCA